AAUUGCUAGUACAUAUAAAAAAAUCCAAGGGUUUCCCAAUAUCUUCUUCUAUCUUCUCUACUGCAAACCCUAUUUUUUUCAGCUGAGAAAUAUUGGCCUUCACUGUGUUCAACUUGUUCUUCAUCAUUUACUUAUUAUGGAUUAUCAAUAGAGUACCACGGACUGAAACUGUUGUUGUUUAUAUCAGCUAUCAAAAAUCAGUGAUUCCCCUUCUGAUGUGCUUUUUUUUUAUCUUCACCGCCAUUAAUAGACUGUUUUGUUGCUUCCAGGUGUGUUCUCUAGUGGAUGGGAUGAUACUCUUGUUUUUGUGAUGUGUUGAGGGUCUCAAGUUCCUGUAUGGUAUUCCAGAUCUAAGUGUUUUAGCUGCCAGUAUCUUACAUGACCCUCUCCUUUUGCUGCUGAGUCCUUUUUGAUGGCUGACAUAGAUUAGGCUAGGAAACUUAUUUUCUCUUUUUGAUAGUUUUAUCACUGUAAAUAUCUGCUUGUGCAUGAUCAACUCUGGACAAUGUAGCCUACUCAACCUUUUUAUUCUCUUGUUGUUCGCAUUCUUAUGUAUGGACAUUGUAACAUAUCACUGUUAAGGAUUUUUCUACCACUUACCUCUAAUUACUGGAAUUUAAAAUUGCAAAA